rnacentral:ncRNA from 1 species
AAAGUUAGUUUUAGCUUUGAUUUUAGUAUGAUUUUAUUUAAUAAUAUGUGAAUUUUUGUGUAUUUUUAUUAUGAUUUGUUUAAAAUGAAUUAUCUAUAAAAAAUUAUAAUAUUGAAAAUUAAUAAUUAAUGAAAAUUAAUUUUGGUAAAACAUUUUAAUUAACAAAUUUUGUGCCAGCAGUUGCGGUUAAACAAAAAAUUUUAUAAAAUUAAAAAAUUUUAAUUAUUAAUUUAUUUAUAUUAAACAUCAUUUAAAUAUUUAGGUAAAAUUAUUAUUUAUUAAAAUUUAAUUUAAACUUAAUAAUUUAAUAAAAUUAACGUUUAAACUAGGAUUAGAUACCCUAUUAUUUUAAUUAAAUUAAUUAAUUAAGAAGUAGAUUAAUAGAUUGAAAUUUAAAAAAUAUGGCAGUAUUUUAAUCAAUUUAGAGGAACUUGUAGAGUAAUUGAUAAUACACGAUUAAUUGUACUAAAACAAAUUUAAUUUAUAUAUUAUUGUUAUAAAAAUAUUUUUUAUGAAAAAAUUUUAGAGCUUAUAGUUAUAUGUUUAUUUCAAAUCAGUAUAUAGUUAAUGUUUUAGUUUAUAUGAGUUAUAUUGAAUUUAUUUUUGGAUUUUAUUUUGAAUAAAAUUAAUGAAUUUAGAUUUAAUAGUAAUAUUUAUUUAUUUAUUUAUAUGGGAAAAAGUUUUAAAAUAUGUACAUAUUGCCCGUCAUUUUCAUGAAAUGAAAGAAGUCGUAACAUAGUUAGAGUAUUGGAAAAUGUUCUUAGAAA